rnacentral:sRNA from 1 species
UGCAAAUGACAUUUGUCUCCCCGGGCGU